GUCAACCGCAGGGCAGUUAGUUCUGGUGAGACACAAGUUAAUUAACUAAGUCAAGUGUGAAGUAAUUUAGUGGUCCUAAGUUUUUAUUCUUAUGGUGAACGGCCAGUUACCUGAUGUGAGGAACUUUGUGACCGACCGACAGGAUGGCGAUGAACAAAUGGCAACACUGGAGGCUUUGAUACGACACUUCACAAGGCAAUGAAUUCAUCUACAGCAAGGAUGAGAGGAGUAUAUCCAUCUUUCCUCUCCAACAUUCCAGUUGCAGCGGCCACAUUAAAUCCAGUGACGCUCAGCUGCGACUGAUCUCUAUGACACAGCACAGAAUAGCUUAAAUGCGGCAAAAUCGUCACUUCCAGGGAAGCUCAGCGUCUCUGGGAGCCACCAGCGCAGUGAGCGGGUGGGGACACUGGGCUGAUGCACGAUGAUUGGAGGCACUGUCUGAAAGGCGGGACCACUUUUUGAUUGACAAGACAGCAAAGCCUUUUCUGUUUCAGUCCCAGACUGAGAUAUGUGAGAUAUAGGCCAUUUGUGUUUGUACAUACACUGGAAAUAAAAAAACAACUAUU